UACGUAGGGCGCAAGCGUUGUCCGGAAUUAUUGGGCGUAAAGAGCUCGUAGGCGGUUUGUCGCGUCUGCUGUGAAAACCCGAGGCUCAACCUCGGGCCUGCAGUGGGUACGGGCAGACUAGAGUGUGGUAGGGGAGACUGGAAUUCCUGGUGUAGCGGUGGAAUGCGCAGAUAUCAGGAGGAACACCAAUGGCGAAGGCAGGUCUCUGGGCCACAACUGACGCUGAGGAGCGAAAGCCAGGGGAGCAAACGGG
rnacentral:rRNA from 1 species